GAUGAACGCUGGCGGCGUGCCUAACACAUGCAAGUCGAACGGAGGUAUUGAUUGGAAGCUUUUCGGAGUGAAAGAGAAAUAUCUUAGUGGCGGACGGGUGAGUAACGCGUGGGCAACCUGCCUCAUACAGGGGGAUAGCAUCGGGAAACUGGUGGUAAAACCGCAUAAGCGCACGAAGACGCAUGUCAAUGUGUGAAAAGGAGAAAUCUGGUAUGAGAUGGACCCGCGUCUGAUUAGCUAGUUGGAGUGGUAAAAGCACACCAAGGCGACGAUCAGUAGCCGGCCUGAGAGGGUGGACGGCCACAUUGGGACUGAGACACGGCCCAG
rnacentral:rRNA from 1 species